rnacentral:rRNA from 1 species
UCCGGUUGAUCCUGGCAGAGGUUACUGCUAUCGAGGUUCGACUAAGCCAUGCGAGUCGAAUGUAGCAAUACAUGGCGAACUGCUCAGUAACACGUGGACAACCUGCCCUUAGGACGGGGAUAAACCCGGGAAACUGGGUAUAAUACCCGAUAGGUCUCGAUUGCUGGAAUGCAUCGAGAUUUAAAGCUCCGGCGCCUAAGGAUGGGUCUGCGGCCUAUCAGGUAGUAGUGGGUGUAGCGUACCUACUAGCCUACGACGGGUACGGGUUGUGAGAGCAAGAGCCCGGAGAUGGAUUCUGAGACACGAAUCCAGGCCCUACGGGGUGCAGCAGGCGCGAAAACUUUACAAUGCUGGCAACAGCGAUAAGGGAACCUCGAGUGCCAGGUUACAAAUCUGGCUGUCGAGAUGCCUAAAAAGCAUUUCAUAGCAAGGGCCGGGCAAGACCGGUGCCAGCCGCCGCGGUAACACCGGCGGCUCGAGUGGUAACCGUUAUUAUUGGGUCUAAAGGGUCUGUAGCCGGCCGGAUAAGUCUCUUGAGAAAUCUGGCAGCUUAACUGUCAGGCUUUCAGGAGAUACUGUCUGGCUCGAGGCCGGGAGAGGUGAGAGGUACUUCAGGGGUAGGGGUGAAAUCUUGUAAUCCUUGAAGGACCACCAGUGGCGAAGGCGUCUCACCAGAACGGACCUGACGGCAAGGGACGAAAGCUAGGGGCACGAACCGGAUUAGAUACCCGGGUAGUCCUAGCCGUAAACGAUACUCGCUAGGUGUCGGCCACGGUGCGACCGUUGUCGGUGCCGUAGGGAAGCCGUGAAGCGAGCCACCUGGGAAGUACGGCCGCAAGGCUGAACUUAAAGGAAUUGGCGGGGGAGCACCACAACGGGUGGAGCUUGCGGUUUAAUUGGAUUCAACGCCCGGAAAUCUUACCGGGACCGACAG